CUUCUUUCCUCCCGAGUGCUUGCACUCAAUUGGAAAGAGGAGUGGCGGACGGGUGAGUAACACGUGGGUAACCUACCCAUCAGAGGGGGAUAACACUUGGAAACAGGUGCUAAUACCGCAUAACAGUUUAUGCCGCAUGGCAUAAGAGUGAAAGGCGCUUUCGGGUGUCGCUGAUGGAUGGACCCGCGGUGCAUUAGCUAGUUGGUGAGGUAACGGCUCACCAAGGCCACGAUGCAUAGCCGACCUGAGAGGGUGAUCGGCCACACUGGGACUGAGACACGGCCCAGACUCCUACGGGAGGCAGCAGUAGGGAAUCUUCGGCAAUGGACGAAAGUCUGACCGAGCAACGCCGCGUGAGUGAAGAAGGUUUUCGGAUCGUAAAACUCUGUUGUUAGAGAAGAACAAGGACGUUAGUAACUGAACGUCCCCUGACGGUAUCUAACCAGAAAGCCACGGCUAACUACGUGCCAGCAGCCGCGGUAAUACGUAGGUGGCAAGCGUUGUCCGGAUUUAUUGGGCGUAAAGCGAGCGCAGGCGGUUUCUUAAGUCUGAUGUGAAAGCCCCCGGCUCAACCGGGGAGGGUCAUUGGAAACUGGGAGACUUGAGUGCAGAAGAGGAGAGUGGAAUUCCAUGUGUAGCGGUGAAAUGCGUAGAUAUAUGGAGGAACACCAGUGGCGAAGGCGGCUCUCUGGUCUGUAACUGACGCUGAGGCUCGAAAGCGUGGGGAGCAAACAGGAUUAGAUA
rnacentral:rRNA from 1 species